GGCGAACGGGUGAGUAACACGUGAGUAACCUGCCCUUGACUUUGGGAUAACUUCAGGAAACUGGGGCUAAUACCGGAUAGGAGCUCCUGCUGCAUGGUGGGGGUUGGAAAGUCUUCGGCGGUUGGGGAUGGACUCGCGGCUUAUCAGCUUGUUGGUGGGGUAGUGGCUUACCAAGGCUUUGACGGGUAGCCGGCCUGAGAGGGUGACCGGCCACAUUGGGACUGAGAUACGGCCCAG
rnacentral:rRNA from 1 species